GAUGAACGCUGGCGGCGUGCCUAAUACAUGCAAGUCGAGCGAACUGAUAAGGAGCUUGCUCCUUUGACGUUAGCGGCGGACGGGUGAGUAACACGUGGGUAACCUACCUAUAAGACUGGGAUAACUUCGGGAAACCGGAGCUAAUACCGGAUAACAUUUGGAACCGCAUGGUUCUAAAGUGAAAGAUGGUUUUGCUAUCACUUAUAGAUGGACCCGCGCCGUAUUAGCUAGUUGGUAAGGUAACGGCUUACCAAGGCGACGAUACGUAGCCGACCUGAGAGGGUGAUCGGCCACACUGGAACUGAGACACGGUCCAGACUCCUACGGGAGGCAGCAGUAGGGAAUCUUCCGCAAUGGGCGAAAGCCUGACGGAGCAACGCCGCGUGAGUGAUGAAGGGUUUCGGCUCGUAAAACUCUGUUAUUAGGGAAGAACAAACGUGUAAGUAACUGUGCACGUCUUGACGGUACCUAAUCAGAAAGCCACGGCUAACUACGUG
rnacentral:rRNA from 1 species